rnacentral:rRNA from 1 species
GUAUAGGGGAGCCGUAGGGAAACCGAGUCUUAACUGGGCGAAUGAGUUGCAGGGUAUAGACCCGAAACCCGGUGAUCUAUCCAUGGGCAGGUUGAAGGUUGGGUAACACUAACUGGAGGACCGAACCGACUAAUGUUGAAAAAUUAGCGGAUGACUUGUGGAUGGGGGUGAAAGGCCAAUCAAACCGGGAGAUAGCUGGUUCUCCCCGAAAGCUAUUUAGGUAGCGCCUCGUGAACUCAUCUUCGGGGGUAGAGCACUGUUUCGACUAGGGGGUCAUCCCGACUUACCAACUCGAUGCAAACUGCGAAUACCGAAGAAUGUUAUCACGGGAGACACACGGCGGGUGCUAACGUCCGUCGUGAAGAGGGAAACAACCCAGACCGCCAGCUAAGGUCCCAAAGUCAUGGUUAAGUGGGAAACGAAGUGGGAAGGCUCAGACAGCCAGGAUGUUGGCUUAGAAGCAGCCAUCAUUUAAAGAAAGCGUAAUAGCUCACUGGUCGAGUCGGCCCGCGCGGAAGAUGUAACGGGGCUAAACCAUGCACCGAAGCUGCGGCAGCGACACAAAGUGUUGUUGGGUAGGGGAGCGUUCUGUAAGCCUGCGAAGGUGUACUGUGAGGUAUGCUGGAGGUAUCAGAAGUGCGAAUGCUGACAUAAGUAACGAUAAUGCGGGUGAAAAACCCGCACGCCGGAAGACCAAGGGUUCCUGUCCAACGUUAAUCGGGGCAGGGUGAGUCGACCCCUAAGGCGAGGCUGAAAAGCGUAGUCGAUGGGAAACGGGUUAAUAUUCCCGUACUGGUGGUAACUGCGAUGGGGGAACGGAGAAGGCUAGGUUGUCCGGGCGACGGUCGUCCCGGUUCAAGCAGGUAGGCAGAGUGAUUAGGCAAAUCCGGUCACUUAAUGCUGAGAUGUGAUGACGAACCACCAAGGUGGUGAAGCAAUUGAUGCCCCGCUUCCAGGAAAAGCCUCUAAGCUUCAGGUUACCAACAAUCGUACCCCAAACCGACACAGGUGGUCAGGUAGAGAAUACUCAGGCGCUUGAGAGAACUCGGGUGAAGGAACUAGGCAAAAUGGUGCCGUAACUUCGGGAGAAGGCACGCUGGCGGUAGGUAAAGUCCCUUGCGGACGGCGCUGAAGCCAGUCGAAGAUACCAGCUGGCUGCAACUGUUUAUUAAAAACACAGCACUGUGCAAACACGAAAGUGGACGUAUACGGUGUGACGCCUGCCCGGUGCUGGAAGGUUAAUUGAUGGGGUUAGCGCAAGCGAAGCUCCUGAUCGAAGCCCCAGUAAACGGCGGCCGUAACUAUAACGGUCCUAAGGUAGCGAAAUUCCUUGUCGGGUAAGUUCCGACCUGCACGAAUGGCGUAAUGAUGGCCAGGCUGUCUCCACCCGAGACUCAGUGAAAUUGAACUCGCUGUGAAGAUGCAGUGUACCCGCGGCAAGACGGAAAGACCCCGUGAACCUUUACUAUAGCUUGACACUGAACAUUGAGCCUUGAUGUGUAGGAUAGGUGGGAGGCUUUGAAGUGUGGACGCCAGUCUGCAUGGAGCCAACCUUGAAAUACCACCCUUUAACGUUUGAUGUUCUAACCUAGGCCCAUAAACUGGGUCGGGGACCGUGUCUGGUGGGUAGUUUGACUGGGGCGGUCUCCUCCUAAAGAGUAACGGAGGAGCACGAAGGUUGGCUAAGCAUGGUCGGACAUCAUGCGGUUAGUGCAAAGGCAUAAGCCAGCUUGACUGCGAGAGUGACGGCUCGAGCAGGUACGAAAGUAGGUCUUAGUGAUCCGGUGGUUCUGAAUGGAAGGGCCAUCGCUCAACGGAUAAAAGGUACUCCGGGGAUAACAGGCUGAUACCGCCCAAGAGUUCAUAUCGACGGCGGUGUUUGGCACCUCGAUGUCGGCUCAUCACAUCCUGGGGCUGAAGUAGGUCCCAAGGGUAUGGCUGUUCGCCAUUUAAAGUGGUACGCGAGCUGGGUUUAGAACGUCGUGAGACAGUUCGGUCCCUAUCUGCCGUGGGCGUUGGAAGAUUGAGAGGGGUUGCUCCUAGUACGAGAGGACCGGAGUGAACGCACCACUGGUGUUCGGGUUGUCAUGCCAAUGGCAUUGCCCGGUAGCUAAGUGCGGAAGAGAUAACCGCUGAAAGCAUCUAAGCGGGAAACUUGCCUCGAGAUGAGUCUUCCCUGUCGCUUUAAGCGACCUAAAGGAACGUUUAAGACUAAGACGUUGAUAGGCUGGGUGUGUAAGCGUAGCGAUACGUUGAGCUAACCAGUACUAAUGAACCGUGAGGCUUAACCUG